UUGGCUUCCUGUAAAAAGCAUGUUUGUGACACUGGAGAACGAUAUGGAUACAUCAUCUAGCCUGCAUGUGGAGGGCCACAUAAGGAAAUGCUUCUAGCCGACCAGCAGGUGCCCGCGAAGGUCCUGGGGCGAUGGCGUUUAGGAGGACAUUGGACCGGCUGAUGAGGCUGUGACACACAGUCAACCCCCCGAUAAUUCCCAUUUCAACCGGCCCUCAGGGGCCCGAUGUCCCUCAGAUCUUGCUUUGGUUUGCAUGCAUUCUACAGCUGGCCGUGGUGAUGGAGGGGAUAUUUAUAGCCCAACGUGUAGUCCAACGGUUGACUGGGAACGAUUAGCUUGUAUUCAACGUGAAGAAAAACGGAGGAGGAUUCUGUCAACCCCAGAUAUCAGAGAUGUGUCAUCCAUUUGUGACUGCUUUAACCAGAAUAGAACGACUGCAGUGUAAACACAGACAAGAGAAUCUGAGAUGGCUCACGUCAUCUUAUGGAAAACGUGUCUCUUUCCAGACCCUUAAGAAUACCUUGUCAUGUUGGUGGUCUACCUCGGGGUCACCAGACUGUGAUCCUGUUGAAUGUGCAUGUUCUCACCGCCUUCAUCCCCAGAUGGCUCGGGAGUGCACGGACAAGGGAUGUUGAGUAGCCGAUGAUAGAUACCAGACUCCGCAAUCUGCCUCGGAAAAAUACAAGCAUUCCAGGAUCUUAUUUUAGAAACCCAGUGAAGUGGAAGCGAAAGCGAAAGACGUGUGUGCGGCGGGCAACGAGCUGAUGGAAAGGGGAGAAUUGGAUUGUCAUACGUUUUGCAUCUCAAUAUUUAGAUCUUAAUGAGACAGCUUGAAAUUACCAUCACAUGUAAUUACGUUUCAAACAAUAAACGUCACAUUGCAUCUGUCGCGAUGACCGUCGGUCAGAUAUUUGCAAGGGUAAGAAAUCAGCAGGCCUCAUUCAUAAUAUUACAUUCGGAAUAGAUCAAGCAAAUAGGGAAUAAGUAUAAUAGCGGCUAUGUUUCCUGCAAUAAACUCACUUCCUGUUAUAUUAUGUUGCAUGAGCUAUUAUUUUUUUCAAAUCCUUAUCUAAUUUACGGGAGCCCUUUAUCACUGUUUGGUUGAUGAUAGUCAUAAAAUAGGAGUCUAAAAGGAGCCGAUUCAAAGAGUAGCA
ensembl:lncRNA